rnacentral:rRNA from 2 species
UCCGGUGACCAGACUGGAGAGGAUACACCCGUUCCCAUCCUACCCCUCUACCCCUUCGGGGCACACGCGGGGCAUACCCCUACGGGGCACAGGCAUGCGAACACGGAAGUUAAGCUCUUCGACUUGUGCCCGCCGUGUACCCCGAAGGGGUGGAACGGGUAGGCUGAUAGUACUUGGGUUUUAAACCGCGGGAGAGUAGGUCGUUGCCGGAA